GAUGAACGCUGACAGAAUGCUUAACACAUGCAAGUCAACUUGAACUUCGGUUUGGGUGGCGGACGGGUGAGUCACGCGUAAAGAACUUGCCUCACAGUUAGGGACAACAUUUGGAAACGAAUGCUAAUACCUGAUAUUAUGAUUUUAGGGCAUCCUAGAAUUAUGAAAGCUAUAUGCGCUGUGAGAGAGCUUUGCGUCCCAUUAGCUAGUUGGAGAGGUAACGGCUCACCAAGGCGAUGAUGGGUAGCCGGCCUGAGAGGGUGAACGGCCACAAGGGGGCUGAGACACGGCCCUUACUCCUACGGGAGGCAGCAGUGGGGAAUAUUGGACAAUGGACCAAGAGUCUGAUCCAGCAAUUCUGUGUGCACGAUGAAGUUUUUCGGAAUGUAAAGUGCUUUCAGUUGGGAAGAAAAAAAUGACGAUACCAACAGAAGAAGUGACGGCUAAAUACGUG
rnacentral:rRNA from 1 species